rnacentral:piRNA from 1 species
UUCCUUUGAUAUUAAUGGUGCUCCAGGGC